rnacentral:rRNA from 1 species
GAUGAACGCUGACAGAAUGCUUAACACAUGCAAGUCGAUGGGGAAGUGGUGCUUGUACCAUGGUAACCAUGGCGGACGGGUGAGUAACGCGUAAGGAACUUACCUGCGGGACCGGGAUAACAGCAGGAAACUGCUGACAAGACCGGAUAAGGUCAUUAAGCUGCAUAGCUUAGUGAUGAAAGGAGACGCCUGCGGAGAGCCUUGCGUCCUAUUAGCUAGUUGGAGGGGUAACGGCCCACCAAGGCGAAGAUAGGUAGCCGGCCUGAGAGGGUGGACGGCCACAAGGGGACUGAGAUACGGCCCUUACUCCUACGGGAGGCAGCAGUGGGGAAUAUUGGACAAUGGGGGCAACCCUGAUCCAGCAAUUCUGUGUGCACGAAGACGGUUUUCGGAUUGUAAAGUGCUUUCAGCAGGGAAGAAGGAAGUGACGGUACCUGCAGAAGAAGCGACGGCUAAAUACGUG